rnacentral:lncRNA from 1 species
CUCCUCCAGGUUGGAGCCAAUUAACACCACAUGCUCCGCAUUCCCAUCAUUCAAAGAAACUGGUAUUAGGUCUUCGAUUGGACCGCCCCUCUCUUCAGUGAGGUCGUCGCGAGCAUCCAAUCCAUCGACCGGACAGAGGUCCGCUUGAUCGCUCCUUUGCAAGGCGAUGUUGUAGCAAUGUCUGGCCAGGGCUUGGUCUCCCCGAACUUCUCCGAUCCCCUGGUUGGUGGGGAACUUCAAUUUCAAAUGAUAGGUUGAAACAACAGCUCUGAGGGCAUUGAGGUCGGGUCGGCCAAGAAUUGCAUUGUAGGCAGAUGGCGCCUUCACCACCA